UGCGUAGGCGGGGCAAUUAGUCAGUGGUGAAGUCCUGCGGCUUAACCGUAGAACUGCCAUUGAUACUGUUGCUCUUGAGUAUAGUUGAGGUGGGCGGAAUGUGUAAUGUAGCGGUGAAAUGCAUAGAUAUUACACAGAACACCAAUUGCGAAGGCAGCUCACUAAGCUAUAACUGACGCUGAGGCACGAAAGCGUGGGGAGCGAACAGGAUUAGAUACCCUGGUAGUCC
rnacentral:rRNA from 1 species